rnacentral:rRNA from 1 species
GUCUAUGGCCAUGCCACCACGAACUGGUCCGAUCUUGUCUGAUCUCGGAAGCGAAGCAGGUUGGACCUGGCUAGUACUUGGGUGGGAGACCACCUAGGAAGACUAGGUGCUGUAGGAG